rnacentral:rRNA from 1 species
AGGUGCUGCAUGGCUGUCGUCAGCUCGUGUCGUGAGAUGUUGGUUAAGUCCGCAACGAGCGCAACCCUACGUUUAGUUGCUAACGCGUGAAGGCGAGCACUCUAGACGAACUGCCGUUGACAAAACGGAGGAAGGUGGGGAUGACGUCAAAUCAUCAUGCCCCUUAUGUUCUGGGCUACACACGUGCUACAAUGGCCGGUACAGACGGACGCAAAGCCGCGAGGUGGAGCAAAUCCUAAAAAGCCGGUCUCAGUUCGGAUUGCAGGCUGCAAUUCGCCUGCAUGAAGUCGGAAUCGCUAGUAAUCGCAGGUCAGCAUACUGCGGUGAAUACGUUCCCGGGCCUU